CCGCACAUAAUUCGGGUUUCGGGACGAUGGAACCGUGUAUAGACCUGGUUCGUUGUCGACGAAACCUGCAAAAUGUGCGG
rnacentral:pre_miRNA from 1 species